UGGGGAAUUUUGGACAAUGGGCGAAAGCCUGAUCCAGCAAUGCCGCGUGUGUGAAGAAGGCCUUCGGGUUGUAAAGCACUUUUGUCCGGAAAGAAAUCCUCUGGGUUAAUACCUCGGGGGGAUAACGGUACCGGAAGAAUAAGCACCGGCUAACUACGUGCCAGCAGCCGCGGUAAUACGUAGGGUGCAAGCGUUAAUCGGAAUUACUGGGCGUAAAGCGUGCGCAGGCGGUUUUGUAAGACGGAUGUGAAAUCCCCGGGCUUAACCUGGGAACUGCAUUCGUGACUGCAAGGCUAGAGUAUGGCAGAGGGGGGUAGAAUUCCACGUGUAGCAGUGAAAUGCGUAGAGAUGUGGAGGAAUACCGAUGGCGAAGGCAGCCCCCUGGGCCAAUACUGACGCUCAUGCACGAAAGCGUGGGGAGCAAACAGGAUUAGAUACCCUGGUAGUCCACGCCCUAAACGAUGUCAACUAGUUGUUGGGGAUUCAUUUCCUUAGUAACGUAGCUAACGCGUGAAGUUGACCGCCUGGGGAGUACGGUCGCAAGAUUAAAACUCAAAGGAAUUGACGGGGUCAUAGCUGUUUCCU
rnacentral:rRNA from 1 species